AACGAACGCUGGCGGCAUGCCUAACACAUGCAAGUCGAACGAGACCUUCGGGUCUAGUGGCGCACGGGGGGGUAAAGCGUGGGAACAUACCCUUAGGUUCUGAAUAACUCCCCGAAAGGGGUGCUAAUAACGGAUAAUGUUUUCGGACCAAAGAUUUAUCGCCUUUGGAUGGGCCCGCGUUUGUUUGGCUAGUUGGGAGGGUAUAAGCCUACCAAGGCGACGAGCCAUAGAUGGUCUGAGAGGAUGAACAGCCACACUGGGACUGAGACACGGCCCAGACUCGUGGGAGAGGCAGCAGAGGGGGAAAUAGGAGCGGGGGCGUGAUGCUGAUCCAGCAUGUGCGCGUGAGUGAUGAUGGGCUUAUGGUUGGAAAGCUCUUUUAACCGGGAUUUUUAUGACAGUACCGGGAGAAUAAGCACCGGCUAACUCCGUG
rnacentral:rRNA from 1 species